rnacentral:misc_RNA from 1 species
AAGAAAUGAACAGCUUGGAGAUAGAAUUUCUAUUCAAUUUGGACUUCAAACUUCAUGUCACUGCUGAUGUUUUCAGUACUCACUGUUUGCAGCUCCAAAAGGAAGUUCUUGGGGGUGAGAAUCAAGUUGAUCGCCGAGCCGGUAACAAAACAAGAACUAAUUGUUUACCUCAAAUUACAGGCUAUACUUGCAGUGCCAUUUAAAAUCACCAAAGGAAUCUCUAUUUCUUAAAUUUCAUGGUUAGUUUAGUGUUCAAUCUCUGG